AAGUCGAGCGGGAUCGAUGGGAGCUUGCUCCCUGAGAUCAGCGGCGGACGGGUGAGUAACACGUGGGUAACCUGCCUGUAAGACUGGGAUAACUCCGGGAAACCGGGGCUAAUACCGGAUAACACCUACCCCCGCAUGGGGGAAGGUUGAAAGGUGGCUUCGGCUAUCACUUACAGAUGGACCCGCGGCGCAUUAGCUAGUUGGUGAGGUAAUGGCUCACCAAGGCGACGAUGCGUAGCCGACCUGAGAGGGUGAUCGGCCACACUGGGACUGAGACACGGCCCAGACUCCUACGGGAGGCAGCAGUAGGGAAUCUUCCGCAAUGGACGAAAGUCUGACGGAGCAACGCCGCGUGAGUGAAGAAGGUUUUCGGAUCGUAAAACUCUGUUGUUAGGGAAGAACAAGUGCCGUUCGAAUAGGGCGGCGCCUUGACGGUACCUAACCAGAAAGCCACGGCUAACUACGUGCCAGCAGCCGCGGUAAUACGUAGGUGGCAAGCGUUGU
rnacentral:rRNA from 2 species